AAAAUAUUUUUUUCUAAGGAGGAGCCUUGGCAACUGAGGGCUGGGUAUCCCUGUGCCGAUAGGGUGAGCCGUGUCGCACUUGAAGCGUGGAGGAGAAUCUCAUAUCUUCAUGUGGGUGUGCUCUGAGUCAGAGACGUUUACAUUUAAAUGAAGCAUGAGGUCAUCACUGCCAUUUUCAUCCUCUGAGCAAAGACCUCCAACAUCUGUCCCUGACUGAAUACAUAGAGGGAUGGAGCUUUUCCGAUUGUCACUUUUCCAAAGCUGCCAGUGGAGCCACUUUCAGAAAGGAGCAGAUGGAUUUUCGACAUGUGACCGAGCAACUUGACACGCAUCAAGAAUAAGCCUGAUGUGCUGGAGAGAAUCCAGUAGUUUUCUAAACUUAAACUUCCUUCAGCAUCCGAUUAUAAAGAAAAGUUCAUGAUUUUGUGGUCUGGUUCCAACAAGGGUCUAUGCUGAUGUGUGCUGAACAGGGGGCAACAUGGACAGAAAUAAGACACUUGACAAGCCACCAUUAGGUA